rnacentral:misc_RNA from 1 species
UUAAGUUCAGCGGGUAGUCCCGCCUGAUUCGAGGUCAAAGUUGAAAAGUGUUGUCGGUGAAGACGAUUAGAAGCGAUCCAAGGCACUCUCGGCCACCCUCGCUUUAUGGGCGCGGAUGUCCUCGACGGUCAUGAACUUAUCACGCCGAGUAGAACCAAGUGUACAAAACAUGGGUCAGCUAAUGCAUUUAGGACCAGCCG